UACGGGGGGGGCAAGCGUUGUUCGGAAUUACUGGGCGUAAAGGGCUCGUAGGCGGCCAACUAAGUCAGACGUGAAAUCCCUCGGCUUAACCGGGGAACUGCGUCUGAUACUGGAUGGCUUGAGGUUGGGAGAGGGAUGCGGAAUUCCCAGUGUAGAGGUGAAAUUCGUAGAUAUUGGGAAGAACACCGGUGGCGAAGGCGGCGACCUGGUCCAUUACUGACGCUGAGGCGCGACAGCGUGGGGAGCAAACAGG
rnacentral:rRNA from 1 species